rnacentral:tRNA from 1 species
GCCCGGGUGGCGGAACUGGUAGACGCAGCAGACUUAAAAUCUGCCGGCCCAAAGCCGUGCCGGUUCGAUUCCGGCCCUGGGCA